CCUCGGUGAAGCACGGAACGGUUUCUAACAAUCAACCGCUUCGUGUAAAUUAAUUAGCGAGCCGAUCCAUCAUUACAACCGCCUUGUUUUCCUUAUUGAAUAAUGUCACAUGCUUCCAGUCUUAACAUCAAUUACUUUCCGUAGAAGGAAUCCGAAAUGGCUGUCGCCGUUGUAAGGGGUUUAUCCGAAAAGUGAAGUACAUCAGAAAUGAAAAAAGGAAAGAAACAGUUAAUUUUUCACAGGUGGCGACACUGCCACUUCAUUCCUCUGAGUGCGAACUUGAGGUUCACAGUCAAACUUUACAUAAAAUUAGUAGAGUCAUUCAAAACUUCAUGACGUGAUAGGAAAUUUGUUUAUUUAACGGUAACUCAUAUCUAGGCAGUGCGUGUAGCACACAAGAACCCUUACAGUCCUCCGGGGUUUAAUUACGCUUCAGUCACUCCAUCUUUUCAAGUUCUAAGGCAUACGCAGGUGAGAAGGCGAAUCAGGGAGCUGACGAAACACUUCUACAGAAAUUGAAAGUAAACAAAUUCGCGAAACGUGUGGAUGGAAGAGAGCAAUAGCUAAGGUGAGUUUCGUAGCUGAUGCCGAUAGCUGUGUGAGCUGUGCGUUCCUGUCCCUUCUGAUGUGAUAGCCGCGCAGGGGUACGAGGAGACGCUUCAGUCCGCGCUGAAUGCAAUCGGAGGUGGCUUCUCCAUGAGGCUAUUCACCGCUGCUGCUUGGCAUGUCUUCUGGUUCUUCACACGACCACAGAUGCUGCAAUCACCACAAGCCAGUCGACCAUCUCUCCACAAUUUAGAAAUAUGCAAGGCAUUUCACCUAAUAUUUUAAUAUCCCAUAAUUUAACCUAAUUUCUGCAACAACAUCACUGUGAGACUACUCCAAUUAAAUAAUAAAACGCCGUAAAAAUUAAGAGAUAUAUAGCAAUGCAGUGUGUGUAAAUGUGAUGUUAUGACAUCGCUGGUUUGCAGAAAGUCCAAAACAUACCAGUCGAAGAUACAAGUCUUUGUGUACAUACCUUGAAUAAUAACUGCUACAUACUUGUUUUGAGCUGCUUUCAGGCAAUACGUCCUCCUAUCUAGUUCAGUAUUCACAUAUGUUGAUAACAAAUCAAUUUCAAUCUUUAAUUUGGUAAUAUGAAAGGCACUCCACCUUCUACUGCAAUUUACUAUAAUCUAUACUGAUUUGUACAAUCAAAAAAUACACUAUUCAUCCUCAUUGAUACAUGUGAAGACAAGUAUGACAUUCGAUCGAACUUGUGAUGAAGGGGAAAAAAGAGAGAGAUAAAUAAAACAUUUACCAAAAAAAUAUUUGGUAUUUCGGCUCUCUAUCGACAUCAUGGCAGUCUAGUUACAGCUUUGUUUUCUAUACAGAAAAAAACCUUGGAUUAAAUACAAAGUGUUCUACCUAGUGUACCUAGAACUCAGUAAUGUUCUGUCAAUAUAGCCUGAAGCGGAGCUAGCCAAGUGUUACUAAUGUAUAUCCUGCAUACAGUGGAGGAGGAGUGGUAGACCGCACAGAAAAGGUUUGAGACACUUACACCAUUCACAUAUUGUUUUGACUGUGGGUAGUGACGUCAGGAGCUCCUGCAGUGCCGACAGUGGAAGCGGCAUACUCGCUUUCUCCAACCCACCAAGUCCGCAAUCGCUGAGCAUUGCAUUUCUACUGGCCAUUCUAUGAAUUACAAUGAUACAAAAAUUGUGGCUCAAACAUCAGUUAUAAAUGAAUCCAUAGAAAUAAAAUUGUCAGACAGCGAGACUCUUAUCAAUCUAGAUAGCGGUUACCAGUUAAAUUCCGCUUGGAAUCCCAUUGUAGAGAAACUUCGUAGUCAACGUAGUUAUCGGUAUAAAGAUGAAGAUCGAUCUGAUAUCGAAAUGCCAAGUUUUCACCGUGGAGGGCGCAAGGCGCAACGCACGGAGUUGUGAACGGAGUUGUGAACGCGCACGCUAAACAGUACAUACGCAGCCCCUUUGGCUUUAAAUAGCAGAGCUCAGCGCGUAUUCGCCAGUACUUCUUCAGCUGUACUCACCUGAAGAUGACCAAAAGGCUUUGUGCCGAAAUAUCGUGGCAAGAUGUUACUGACUUACGGCAGUUCUCCCGUGUUUUUAUUGAACAAACAGUACGCCGUGAACAUUUCAAACAUCACAACAUAUUACUUUAUUAUGAAUGGUCCUGGUAAACAGAGGCUAGUGAUAAAAAUAAUGAGAAUAGCAAAAGUGAAAUGUCAAUAAAGUGUUAGUAAAUUUUGGUAUUUAAAUGUUCAUUACAAAAUGAAUAGGUAUGUGUUUACCCAACCUCACAUUGGUCAGUCAAUUUAAAUAAACAGUGAUAUACUUUGUUUUGAGGUCUAAUCCAUAUCUUUAUGCAACAUGUAUUUACUAGAAUCUGAACAUACGUCCCAAGCAAAGACAAUAAACAUAUAGGAUUGCUUUUAGAUAAUAAGGUUUUGGAAAAAUGGUCUUGUCGUUGUGGAUAAAAUUUUAUUUUGUAAUAUGUGUAAUUCUGUAUGUUUAAAAAUGAUUUAUUCCAUGUACGAAAGGCAACGUAUUUGUAAAUGAAUUUUUUGAAACAAACUGAACAGUUUUGAUGAUUCUGAAAUUAUCAAUUUUCUUAUGCAUUCUGUUUUAAACGAUUUUGGAGUUAAAAUAAUAUGGUGUUUGUUCUGGCAAAACAGACAUAUAAGGAGGAAGUUGUCUUUCCUUUUUGAAAGAAAUUAUAAAAAUGAAGGCCAUAACAUUGUGUAUUUUGCUUAUGUUUCACCCCUGAAACUUAUAGCAUGAGCUGAACAAUUUCUCGAGUCUUUCGUCCAAAUCAGGAAAAACUCACAACAAAUGGGAGGGGGGGAUAUGUAAUAUCCCAAUGGAUCACAUCACAAUACGUUCUGAAAAUGCAUGACUGAACCAUCCAUGCUCUGCUUGUGUAACAAGCAAAUGGGCGUGAGUAAUAGUAGUGCAAAUGACAGGAGAUGCACAUUUAUGUCAUGUGGAAGCGAAAUAAUACAACCGAAAAUUUAUUUACUGCUAACUACCACUAGGUGUCACUAUGUAUUAAGAACCAUAACAAGAAAUAAUAUCCUUGUGAGAGAUUUAUAGAUAUUAGUGUUAAUUCUAUUUAAUGUGUUUUGUGCAGUUAUAAUGUAACUGUGUUUGGGAAAAACAUAAUUAAUUGUCUAGCUAUGUGUACAACACAUUUUCAAUAUGAGAGAGUGAGUUUUGGCAGGAAUGUAAUUAUGUAAAUGUAUUAGUACUUUCUUUAUAUACACUUGGCAAGAAAGUGAAGUACAAUUGAAGUUGGGUUUUGGCACAUGAGUAGUUAUUCCCCCUUACAAGAGUAUGAGUGACAGGCUUGAGAUUAGGCUACAUGUCAUGAAAUAAUGUGGAGUAUUUGCUGACUUAAGUGCGAAUAUUGUGAUUCUUUGGGGUUUUGAUUAAGUCGAAUGGAGGUUGUGAAGAUUUUUUACGCCACACUUGAAGACAGUAGCCACACAAAGAGUGAAAUAUGGUUUUGGAAUGCAGUUUUAAUGUCGUAAAUGAACUAUUCUUCAUUGACAAUGAAAUGGAACUUGUUCAAAUUUUAAUUGAA